GAUGAACGGCGAUCUGAGCGGUUGAUGGCGAUUGGAUCAAGAGUUGAUCAGGGAUCGAAUCAAGGAGGCUCGGGACCAAUUCAAGAGUUGAAGACCAGUUGAUCAAUUGACGUGCAUUUGCUUGUAAUAUGACCUAAUUAAAAUCCAUGAUCAUCACCUGUUUAAAGUUUAGCUUUACUUAAUGCUGCGAUUAUAACUGCCUGCAAUGUGCCGUUUGCAUGUGAUGUGAAUGUGAGUCGGAUAGAUAGGUUUACAUGUGAUGCAAACUAAUAGACCAAUCCAAAUAAGACCUAAACUAAAACCUCCUCAAUCAAGUCGAGAGUGAACCAACAUGAGCGAGUCAUAUUAGAUUAAUUGAUCUAAUUGGUGUCUAGGAAAGCAUGAAAGGUGG
rnacentral:lncRNA from 1 species